rnacentral:rRNA from 1 species
AGGACGAACGCUGGCGGCGUGCUUAACACAUGCAAGUCGAGCGAACCUUCGGGUUAGCGGCGAACGGGUGAGUAACACGUGGGCAACCUGCCCCGAGCUCUGGGAUAACUCCGGGAAACCGGGGCUAAUACCGGAUAUGACCCGAGAAGACAUCUUCUCGGGUGGAAAGUUUUUCGGCUCGGGAUGGGCCCGCGGCCUAUCAGCUUGUUGGUGGGGUAACGGCCUACCAAGGCGACGACGGGUAGCCGGCCUGAGAGGGCGACGGCCACGACUGGGACUGAGACACGGCCCAGACUCCUACGGGAGGCAGCAGUUAGGGAAUUUUGUCAAUGGGCGAAAGCCUGAACGAGUGACGCCGCGUGCGGGAUGACGCCUUUCGGGGUGUAAACCGCUUUUCCCAAGGACGAGGAUGGACGGUACUUGGGGAAUAAGUCUCGGCUAACGUACGUGCCAGCAGCCGC